AACCUCAUCGACCGGAAGGGAUUCCUUCCGGUCAAUGAGGAAGAGGUCGAUGAGGAAGAUAUCCCUUAUCGACCGGAAGGGAUCCCUUCCGGUUGAUGAGGAA
rnacentral:miRNA from 1 species